rnacentral:lncRNA from 1 species
AAGUGAAGAGACAAAAAUGGUAAUGCACAAAGCUAUGUAUGUACAAACGAACUUAUGUUGAGGAACAAGGACAUAGAAGACUCAUGCAACACCAUCAGCAAUACUCAGAUCCUAUGAGAUGAAUGUAGCCAAAAUCAUUUGUAAGUUGUAACUAGCUGGUCUACUACUCAUGAUUAUUUUUGGAGAAAACUGAGAUGUCAAUACCGUCGCCUAGACAA